GACGAACGCUGGCGGCGUGCUUAACACAUGCAAGUCGAACGGAAGGGCCCUGCUUUUGUGGGGUGCUCGAGUGGCGAACGGGUGAGUAACACGUGAGUAACCUGCCCUUGACUUUGGGAUAACUUCAGGAAACUGGGGCUAAUACCGGAUAGGAGCUCCUUCUGCAUGGUGGGUUUUGGAAAGUUUCUGCGGUUGGGGAUGGACUCGCGGCUUAUCAGCUUGUUGGUGGGGUAGUGGCUUACCAAGGCGUUGACGGGUAGCCGGCCUGAGAGGGUGACCGGCGAAAAUGGGAGUGAGAAACGGACGAGACUCAUAAGGGAGGAAGCAGUGGGGAAUAUUGAAAGAUGGGAGAAAGACUGAUGAAGCGACGCCGCGUGAGGGAUGACGGCAUUAGGGUUGUAAACAGCUUUAAGCAGGGAAGAAGAGAAAGUGACGGUACCUGAAGAAGAAGAACCGGCUAACUACGUG
rnacentral:rRNA from 1 species